rnacentral:ncRNA from 1 species
UACUUUUGCGUGUGUUGUGGUGGCUUUCUUCCCGUUACCGGGAAGUGCCUUAAUAAGGGAAUCCGGUGCAAAACCGGAGCAGUCCCCGCUGCUGUAAGCCUGUAAGCUUCUUCGGAAAUAAACGCCACUGUCCCGAUUUUUCGGGGUGGGAAGGCCCGAAGAAGGGUGAGCCAGAAGACCUGCCAGCAACAUCAAUUGUUU